rnacentral:lncRNA from 1 species
CCUUUUACCUACCUGACUUGUACACACUUUUGGCAUCUCUUGGGUGACUGCUCUGACCAUCUUCUUAGUGACCCUAGGUGCCACUACAGUGUUUUCGUAAUGCACUGAAUUUACCACAUUGCAUUACAGUUCCUUGCAGUGGGUUGAUUCCCAAACAAAUGCCCCAGAUUAGUUUUAUAAUGAGAAUCUUUAGUGAUUAUUCCCAUUUGUGCCUGAGUUUUUUCUAU